rnacentral:rRNA from 1 species
GUCUAUGACCAUACCAUCCUGAACGCGCCUGAUCUCGUCUGAUCUUGGAAGCUUAGCAGGGUCGGGCCUGGUUAGUAGUUGGAAGGGAGAAUUUUCUAUUUCGAGCUUGUAUAAC